UCCGCGCUGCUGAAGUUUCUCCGGUCGCGUUUGAAACUUACCAAAUAGAAGAAUCAUACGAAUCUCUCGCAUGUUUAGUCCGGUUUCCAGUUUUGAUUGAGCAAGAACUCGGGAGGUAGUGCUCAGUUUGAUCUAAAAAUUUUGAAACAGUGCUUAACAAUCAGUAGCUACUGAAAGACCUAUAUCAUUGAAAAUUUCGUGAAUUCUGUAACUCGGAAAUUUUUCCAUAAGCAGUGGUGAACAAUGUUUUUACCGUGACCAUCAUGUUUUGAUGCUCCCGAUCUGCCCGCGGAGUGAGAGGUGUAAUCUAGAUUUUGGUUUAAAAUUAUACUUCGUUGCCAUUUCAAGGACGGAUUUAUUGAUAUAUUUAAGGUACGAUUUUACAAUUUCACUCGAUUUCUGACUUAAUAUUUUCGCAUUUCGGAUUUAUACCUGACAGACGACGGAGUUGCCUAGUUCUUCGCGAUACGGUUCAUUUUUUAACUACUACGACUACGCCGUGCUGCAAAAAAUCGUAAACAGGUCUUCCGUCUUGGAUGCUACGGUAGUUCAGCUUCAGUACAGCCUCAGCGGCAGGAGCGGCAACAUCAGGAGCGACAUCAGUAUCAAUGCAGGGUUCUUUCAGCGACGAUGGAGAGAGAGAACGAUGACCAUUGCGUGAUGGGACCAAAUCAGGAUAUCACCGAGUCUUCUCGAUGAGAUACAUCCCUUCGUCUUCACCCAGUCGAGAUGGAUCUGCAACACAUGAGACAUACAACUCCUUUUCUGCAGAGGUUGCAGUUCCUCCAACGUCAUUGCCUGGACUUCCCCUG
rnacentral:lncRNA from 1 species